rnacentral:lncRNA from 1 species
GGGGACUUUUGGACCAUUUCUGCAGUGUAUACUGAGCUGUAUACUGACUGUAUAUCCCAGCCCUUCACCCUAGCGUUUUUCUGUAUAUCUCCACAUAUUGUAUAUCAACAUAGAAAUUAGCAUAUUCCCUCCCCAUAUUUCAUUGUACAUUGUAUGGUGGUAUGCAGCUACGACUUUCAGUGUAUAAACGCUGUAUAUCAGCAUAUACCAGCAUGUAUACGUGCUAUCAUGUGUAUAUCAGUCCAAUUUUUGGCUUUAAUGAGGCUCGACUCGACGGUGUUCGAAUGCAAGGAUAAGAGGAGUUCGAUCGGACUCGUUCAAGAUGAGCUCAUGCAAAAGAAAGAAAAGAUAAGGAUUAACAAGUGUCUACUAAUAAUAAAACAAGCAAAUUAGUAUACCAAAUGUCAACUUAAACAAACAAUGAUAAUCACACACUUAAGGUAUAGAUUGUAUUUAAAAAUAUAGAAUAUUCAAAAUAGCACAAGCAAACCAACAUGGAGAAUAACUAUUUUGACCCAAUUAUCGAAUAUUUCAUCACUUAAAUAAUUUUGACAAGAUAGGAGCUUUAAGUACUGACAUGGCAAAGUACAUCCUUUUUAAUAACUAACAUGAACAUUAUCCAAUAUACUUGAACACCAAGAAGAUAACAAAAAUGAAUUACGAAAUAACAUCCAAAAAAGGACCAAGAUGAACAUUCACCCAAGGCAAAGCAAAGGAAAAAGAAUCAGAAACAAAUAAAUACUUUAAGAAGAAUCUGAACUUAAUUUCAAACCAAACAUAUCAAGUAAUCAUUUGUUAGAACAUGACCACAAUAAGAUAAGUGUUAUAAGCUCUGCUAUUUUUCUUGAACACCCGUGCCUUUUUAAUAUUCCCAGGAACAUAACAUGACAUGUCUGUGCGAGCAGCAAAGUCGAAUGAAAAAGAUUCAAACAAGAAUGCUCUAUGGCCUUAAAGAAAUAAAUGAAACAUUUAAAGUUAGUUUCUUAAAUAUACAUGAAACAUUUUGACUCUAGAAAGAAAAUGAGCAAAUGAGCCUUAAUUGGAUUUGAAAAUACUACUGGCAGGAGAAAGGAAAUCUUACAACUUAUUGUUUGUAUUUCUCAUAAAUGGGUAGAUCUUAGACUAGUGAAUUCUAAAAAAAUCGGAAGCAUAUCACAUACAUAACCUAAAUUUAACAGUGAAAUUACUCGGAUGACAUUAGACUUAAGCCAAAGCGAUUCGAGUAAUUCAACUUCACAGGAUAAACAAUCACAAUGAAAACGACAAAAUGCCUAUGCCCAGAUGAACGCCAAAUCAAUCUCUACAUCCAACGUAUAUGAACUUGAAUCGACAGACCCAACGCUUAUCAUCGAUCAAUACACAAUAUGAUUUCAGUAAAUAAAUUUCAAAAACUUCCAAUUCUGACUUCUUACCAUGCUUAUAAUCAAAAGAAUGGGUAAACCAGAAAGACAAAAAGAUUUCAUUUAGCGUUUGACCAUCACAAAGCCAAAUGAAAAAUACAAAGUAAUAAAGAGAAAAAAAAUUCUUCAAAGCUAAUAAAAUUUGGAACUUUUCGACAACAUGGUAAUAAAUUAAUUAAAAACUAAAAAUCAGAAGGCCUCACCCAACGGCCAGCAUUAUUGAUACAAGAAUAAUCACGGAUAUGAACUUAAGAGAGUGCGUGUUGGACCUGAGACUUGGUGAAUGCAAAUGAAGUGAACAGGAACACCUAAAUGGACACCAAAACCGUCCACUCAUAGCACUCCAAGGGCACCUACUUGAAGCCAUUCAUUAAAGGGCCUUUUUUGUCAUUUCACCUAACUUUUGUAAUAAGUCUAUAAAUAGACUAGUUUAGGUCUUUAGUUCUUUAGUUGAUUAUUGUUGUAAGUCUUGACAUUUGAAACACCAAAGUCCUCUCUCUACUUGAGGCAAACCGAAACUUGUAACUAGGAUACCAAUUCAAAGGUGAAAUCUUUUGUGAUGGCUUGUUUUUGAGAAACCUUGGUGCUCGUGUGAUCGUGUGUGGAGAUGUUAGGGGUCUUAGAUUUUAAUAUACUCUUUUGGUUACUAGGAUUUAUACCACUUUUGUCUAACUAUCUAUCCCUUUAUUUUUGUUGUCAUCUCUUAGUAGUUGUGUCUUGUCCUCUUGUAAACGUUCGUUGUUGUUAUUGUAAGCUUGUUGUUCAUCACAUUAACGUAGUGUUACUGCUGUUUUAGUGUGGUUAUACACGUUAUUAUCUCACCAUUGUUGAAGCAUUCUCGGAUUUUCUUUUCAUUCUUGUGUUGUCAUUCUUGGUCGAGACUUGGUUCCUAGGGCUCUCGGUUUGUGGUGUGUUUUGUGACAUUUUUGGGGGUUGUUUUGUGUCUUCUUGGGGUUGUAAGGUAUCAUUUGGUAUCAAAGCAAGGCUGGUUGUGUUCCUACACUACCAAUCUCUACACUACCAAUCUUGGGCUCUCUUAGUUGAAAAAUAAUUUUAAAAAAAAAGUUGAAGUGUUCUUGUUCUUGGCCAAGUGUUCUUAUUGUUGUUGUUGUGUUUGGCCGAGAUUUGAGUGUAUUUUGUUGUCUUAGUUUGUUUCUAGUGCUGGUUCUCUUUCUCCUCAACACUUAUUGAGUCUACAACCCAAGUUCUUGAGCAAGAUUCGAGUUGUGAUGUGGUGUUAACUGGACGGUUUUGUUGUUGUUGGUGGUGGUGUUCAUCUUGUGUUCUUGUGUUGUGUUGAAGAAGUUGUAGUUUGAUCUUGAAGAGAGAAAAGAAGUAUAAGACUUUGUGUUUGUCUUGAAAACAAUUACAAGACAACACCAAAGUAGUAAAAGAAAAAGAGACAUUCAAAAAGCAUACUUACCAAAAAGGAGCGACUAACACUUUUCAAGAAUAGACAAAAGAGGAAAGAGACAAGGCUACUCCAAAAGGAUGUUUUGCCAAAAGAGUGCAAGUUGGUGAAAAGUUAGUAGAAGACUUUUUGACUCUUGAAAAGAGAGUCUAAAAUCUUGUCCACCUACACCAUAGCCGAAAUAUCUUCCUCAAAGGUGUAGUAUUGAACAUCAAAGUCUUGGAACAAAUUUUCUUCAACAACAACGUGUGUUUUGUCUUGUAGGUUUGUGUGGUAUUGUUGCUUGCGGUUCAAAGACUUGAACAUUGUUGGUGUGUUGAUGUUGUGAAUCCGAAUCUUGAAGGUAAUUCCUUGGCCAUAAUGGAAACCAUUUUUUCCCUCCUUGAUGUUAUGUCCUGAGACAUUGUGCUAGGGCGAAUGCGGGUAUUGAAAAGAUUGACUUGGAUGUGGUUGCUAUGAUUGAGAGGUUGGAUCAUAUGGAGAGUCGAAGGAACUCUCGUGCUUAUACUCCUCGACUCCAUGUUUCCUCAAGUGGGCAUGACCAAAACACUUCCACCACCAUUGCCCCCGAAACUUUAUCUCAAAUGAUCAAUCCUCCAAGACCACCACAAAAUGCCAUAAGCCAAGCUCCCAAUUACCCUCAAAACCGAGACCUAAGUAUACCACCUCUCCCGCAAUUUGAUCAAGUCUAACAAGAAGGACUUGGAAGCCAAAUUCCUCCACUAAAACAGAACCCUCCCAUCCAAGAACCACUUAACCAAAGGCGCGCGCCAACCUUCACCAAAUCAAACUCCUCCCUUCCAAGCUCCACUUCUCCAAAACCGACUCGUCUAUGUAGAGGAACAUGGAAGAGAGGAACAUGAAGGAUAUGGUGUCUAUGAUGAGGCUUAUAUGAUGGAAGAAGCGUUUAGAGGAAGACAUAGAGAUCAAAGGGGAUACCGAGGGCAUGGAGGAAGAGUUGGUCCAUGGGACCAACAAGGAACCCACCACCAAAUGGAGAUAUAGGAAUUGAAACGGAUGAGAUUGAAGGAAACUCUCAAGAUGGAGAGGAAGCCGAGGUUCAAAAUGAAGAAGUUGGCCGAGACUUGUGUUAAUGAGAUCCCGUGUUCCUCAUGUUCUUUGUGGACUGUUUUUGUGCCAUCUCAUGUUUUGUGGGCUGUUUUGAGUGGUUUCUUUGAAGUGGCCAAUUGAGUGAGGUGAAGCCGUGAAUUUGUGGGCAAAUUCCUUUCAAGAUGGAGAGGAUGAUACAAGAAUAAUCACGGAUAUUAACUUAAGAGAGUGUGUGUUGGACCCGAGACUUGGUGAAUGCAAAUGAAGUGAAAAGGAACACCUAAAUGGACACCAAAACCGUCCAUUCAUAGAACUCCAAGGGCGCCUACUUGAAGCCAUUCAUUAAAGGGCCUUUUUGGUCAUUUCACCUAACUUUUGUAAUAAGUCUAUAAAUAGACUAGUUUAGGUCUUUAGUUGAUUAUUGUUGUAAGUCUUGAAAUUUAAAAUACCAAAGUCCUCUCUCUACUUGAGGCAAACCGAAACUUGUAACUAGGAUAGCAAUUCAAGGGUGGAAUCUCUUGUGAUUGCUUGUUUUUGAGAAACCUUGGUGCUUGAGUGGUGGACUCCGCUUUUGUGAAAUCGUAAGAGUUAGGUGAUCGUGUGUGGAGAUGUUAGGGGUCUUAGAGUUUAAUAUACUCUUUGAUUACUAGAAUUUAUACUACCUUUGUCUAACUAUCUAUCCCUUUAUUUUUGUUGUCAUCUCUUAGUAGUUGUGUCUUGUCCUCUUGUAAUCGUUCGUUGUUGUUAUUGUAAGCUUGUUGUUCAUCACAUUAAUGUAGUGUUACUGCUGUUUUAGUGUGGUUAUACACGUUAUUAUCUCACCAUUGUUGAAGCAUUCUCGGAUUUUCUUUUCAUUCUUGUGUUGUCAUUCUUGGCCGAGACUUGGUUCCUAAGGCUCUCGGUUUGUGGUGUGUUUUGUGACUUUUUGGGGGCUGUUUUGUGACUUGUGGUGUGUUUUGUGACCUUUUUGGGGGCUGUUUUGUCUCUUCUUGGGUUGUAAGGUAUCAAUUAUACACAUGUUCAAGAAAAAACAUAACGUCACACGUCAAAAAACUAUCACUUUUAAGAAAAAGUUAUCAAGAUGAAAUCUUUACCCAACUUCCAUUAUCAAACCAGUCUCGCAACAACAACGGGAAUCAAAAUACUAAUAGAAUCUCAUGGUGUAACUUUCAAAUACGAAGAAGGGGAAAUGUAAAAAGAUAGAGUUUUUACCUUUUUCGGAGCAGGAACCGGG